rnacentral:siRNA from 1 species
AUGUCUUUCCAGUGGCGGAUCUA